rnacentral:rRNA from 1 species
CCUACGGGUGGCUGCAGUGGGGAAUAUUGCACAAUGGGGGAAACGCUGAUGCAGCGACGCCGCGUGAGUGAAGAAGUAUUUCGGUAUGUAAAGCUCUAUCAGCAGGGAAGAAAAUGACGGUACCUGAUUCAGAAGCCCCGGCGAACUACGUGCCAGCAGCCGCGGUAAUACGCAGGGGGCCAGCGUUAUCCGGAUUUACUGGGUGUAAAGGGGGCGUAGACGGCAGCACAAGUGUGGAGUGAAAUGCCGGGGCUUAACCCCGGAACUGCUUUGGAAACUGUGCAUCUAGAGUGCAGGAGAGGUAAGUGGAAUGCCUAGUGUAGCGGUGAAAUGCGUAGAUAUUGGGAGGAACACCAGUGGCGAAGGCGGCUUACUGGACUGUAACUGACGUUGAGGCUCGAAAGCGUGGGGAGCAAACAGGAUUAGAUACCCGGGUAGUC